AUAAUCUAAUAUUUUUAUUAUUACCAACAGUUACAAUAACUCAAAUGCAGUUUAUCUUUUCUUCUCAUAUUCAAAAUAAUUAUUGUUUUUAAGAAUCAUUUCACUGGAUAUCUCAAUUAAGGACUUUUUUUUGGCCCACUAAAUGAUGAUCUUGUUGGAUCGCUGGCACUAACCGCCAAUCUCAAAAGCUCAGAUUAUUAGAAAUGCGCAACUAAUUCACUUAAAACGUAUAGGCACGAUACCUACAAGACUCGAUUAUGACUCGUUCUGACCAACCUCAAGCCAUUUCGAACAUAAUUCGACCUAACCUAGUUUCACGCCAUUCCGAACGUGGCUUGACUCAACCUAACCUCCCACCAGGCAAAAUACUGGCACAUUUAAGCCAAAAAAUUAUUCGAUUUAUGUCACUUUUUUAUAUAUUUAAUUUUUCACUGGAUUACACAAUAC
rnacentral:lncRNA from 1 species